rnacentral:rRNA from 1 species
CAAUAACGUAUAUUAAAAUUGUUGCGGUCAGAAAGCUCGUAGUUGGAUUUCUGCCGAGGACGUCUGGUCCACCCUCUGGGUGUGUACAUGGCUCGGCCUGGGCAUCUUCUUGGGGUCCGUAUCUGCACUUGACUGUGUGGUGCGGAAUCCAGGACUUCUACUUUGAGGAAAUUAGAAUGCUUCAAACAGGCACGCGCCUUGAAUACAUUAGCAUGGAUAAAUAAGAUAGGACCUCGGUUCUAUGCUGUUGGUUUCUAGAGCUGAGGUAGUGAUUAGUAGGGAUAGUUUAGGGCAUUCGCAUUUAAGUGUCAGAGGUGAGCCUUUUGGAUUUGUUAAAAACAGAAUACUGCGAGGGCAUUUGCCAAGGAUGUUUCCAUUGA